GGUGCUUUUAUUAUCUUUAUUUUACUGUUGAAGAAACUGAUGCAAAGAGAAGCUAAGCAACUUGCCCAGGGUCACAUAGUCAGGAAGUAUCUGAGGUCAAAUUUGAAUUCAAAUCUUCCUACUAAGGGUCUGAGGUUGAAUUUGAACUCAGGGCUCCCUGACUCCAGGGCUACUGUUCUGUCUUCCCAAUCAUGUACUCUUCCCACUAGCCUAUGUUGCCUCCUCUUCUUCUAGGUAAGACAGACAGAAAAAUAAAUGUCUAUCCAUGAGGAACAGAAGAGAAGCUGUGAAGUACACAGGAAAAUUACAAGGUAGAAUAAGUAGAGGUAAUCUUCUCUUCUUCCUGACUGCCACCUUGGAGAAUCCUUCAUUGCCUUCAUGAAGAAUAACCACAAAGACUAAGACCUUGUCAAUGAAGUCUUUCCUGAUGCCUCUUUUUCCCACAGAGCAUCAGAAUUAAACAAUGAGUUUGAAAAGGCCUUGAAAAAAAGAAGGGUGUUAUCAAAAUAGAAGGGAUAUUUUAAAAAACUUAACCAGUAACCAAGACACAAUAUAAUGCAUGCUAUUAAAAAGAAUAAAUUAUUUUCUCUGCA